UUAGCUCCAUGGUAACGGCGCGGCGUUCUCCCAGUUUUCCUGUUGCGGCUUUAGCACGGAGAACAGAUAGAGCGCCGUUUUAGCUUUUUAAAUACGCCAAGAUUGCUAUAGCUUGAUAUUUUAUUUUUAACUUAUACGCAUAUAUGCUGGUUUACAGUCAUCAUGAGCCGCACUCCUGAUGCAAGAGCGAGAGACACCCAGACCAAGCAGAUCCAAGAGAACAUCACCAAUGUAGAGAAGCACUUUGGAGAUCUCUGCCAACUGUUUGCUGCUUAUGUCCGUAAAACGGCACGACUUCGGGACAAAGCUGACCUUCUGGUUAAAGAAGUCAGCCUUUAUGCUGACACAGAGACACCGAACCUUAAACUUGGAAUGAAGAAUUUCGCAGAUCAGCUGGCAAAAGUUCAGGACUAUCGACAAGCAGAAGUGGAGAGGCUGGAAGUGAAAGUUAUAGAGCCUUUGAAAGCAUAUGGGAAUAUCGUCAAAACAAAAAGGGAGGACCUGAAGCAGACGCAGACUGCCCGGAACAGAGAGGCCAAGCAGAUGCAGCAGCUUGAAAAGAUGAGGCAGAGAAACCCCUCAGACAGACAGAUUAUUUCGCAGGCUGAGAGUGAACUCCAGAGAGCCACAAUGGACGCCACACGCACGACUCGCCAGCUGGAGGAGACAAUAGAUGACUUUGAAAAGCAGAAGAUUCGUGAUAUCAAGAAAAUUCUGGGGGAAUUUGUAACAGUGGAGAUGGCAUUCCAUGCUAAGGCUUUGGAAAUUUACACAACUGCCUACCAGCACAUCCAGAAUGUCGAUGAGGAAGGAGACCUUGAGGUGAGCACUCCGCACCAGCACUGCUGCUCUGGCAGUCCUGCUGGUUCAAGCUUGUCUGUCUUAAUGUCUAAUCAAAUUAUAUUCUUUCUCCUCCUGAGAUCCCCCUGCUGUCAUAAUGAUGAAAGCUCUGGUUGCUGGGCUAUAAGGCCUCCUCCAGCCCUGAUGCUAAAAGAACCGUAGAGGCAUCUUGCAAAGCAUGUUCAGUCAGCUGUGGAAUGUUCUCACUGGCUAAUGCAUUUAUUUAUGAAUCCGCAGUUUGGUGUGUCAAAGCGAUUUUUUUUUUUUUUUUUUUUCUCAACUUUGUUAAUAUUUCUUUGACUUGCCUGGGAAGAAAAAUCACAUGAAUAUUAUUUGGUCAGAGAUUUUCUGGGAAACGUUUCCUUGUUUUUCUCUGACCUUUUCCUGUAAUCGAAUGUGUAAAGUGGCAAUAGUCAUAUACUGGCACAUGUUGACAGGUUUAUAAAGACGCAGCUAGAGAUAGGUCAUAAAUAUUCUUCCUGUAAUAUUUAACUGGAGUUAAUAAAGUUGAGGUGACAAUGUUUGUUGGCACACCCUCACCAGGACAGAGCGUGUAAAUGUUUUUCCCCAGUCUAAAUGACACGGUUCUCUGUUGCUACAACACAGUGUUCAGGAACUCACUGCACCCUCCUGAUUACCAGUCUCGAUUAGAAAUAGUUCGUGCCAAUUCUAAACUGUCUCUAAAUCGAACUGGAACGUCAAUGAGUAAAUCGGGAACAAUGCAGUCAAGAACAUCUAGCAGACA